CAUACGAUGAACGGUUAAGGUGCCUCCCAAAACCUGGGGGGAGAAUAGGGAAGUCGGAGUAUGGGAGAUUCCAUACAUACGCGCGGGCCCACCACUGUACCGGGAAGACCUUACAUAUGUCACUCGCAAGGGGAAGGCGUAAGAGUUGAUGAACCGGGAGCCAGGAGACCUGCCUUACACCGCUAAACCAU
rnacentral:ncRNA from 1 species